CUACGUGCCAGCAGCCGCGGUAAUACGGAAGGUCCAGGCGUUAUCCGGAUUUAUUGGGUUUAAAGGGAGCGUAGGCUGGAGAUUAAGUGUGUUGUGAAAUGUAGACGCUCAACGUCUGAAUUGCAGCGCAUACUGGUUUUCUUGAGUACGCACAACGUUGGCGGAAUUCGUCGUGUAGCGGUGAAAUGCUUAGAUAUGACGAAGAACUCCGAUUGCGAAGGCAGCUGACGGGAGCGCAACUGACGCUUAAGCUCGAAGGUGCGGGUAUCAAACAGGAUUAGAUACCCUGGUAGUCCGCACAGUAAACGAUGGAUGCCCGCUGUUGGUACCUGGUAUCAGCGGCUAAGCGAAAGCAUUAAGCAUCCCACCUGGGGAGUACGCCGGCAACGGUGAAACUCAAAGGAAUUGACGGGGGCCCGCACAAGCGGAGGAACAUGUGGUUUAAUUCGAAGCAACGCGAAGAACCUUACCAGGGCU
rnacentral:rRNA from 1 species